rnacentral:rRNA from 1 species
UACGUAGGGGGCAAGCGUUGUCCGGAAUCAUUGGGCGUAAAGAGCGCGUAGGCGGCCCUGUAAGUCCGCUGUGAAAGUCAAGGGCUCAACCCUUGGAUGCCGGUGGAUACUGCAGGGCUAGAGUCCGGAAGAGGCGAGUGGAAUUCCUGGUGUAGCGGUGAAAUGCGCAGAUAUCAGGAGGAACACCGAUGGCGAAGGCGCCCUGCUGGACCAUAACUGACACUCAGGGACGAAAGCUAGGGGAGCGAAUGGG